AAUCUGCACAACUUUUUGGACCUGGCAGCCGGCACUGGAUUGGCUGCAGAAGCAUUACUAGAUCAUGGAUACAAAGGAGUAAUGGAUGCUGUUGAAUUGAAUGAAGAUAUGCUGAAGAAAGCGGAAUCAAAGGGAAUAUACAGGAAACAUGUUUGCUUCAAAAUUACAACCCGGAAGCAUCAAUUCCAGUAGGACAAAAUUAUA